UACGUAGGGGGCUAGCGUUGUCCGGAAUCAUUGGGCGUAAAGCGCGUGUAGGCGGCCCGAUAAGUCCGCUGUGAAAGUCCAGGGCUCAACCCUGGAAUGCCGGUGGAAACUGUCGGGCUAGAGUCCGGAAGAGGCGAGUGGAAUUCCUGGUGUAGCGGUGAAAUGCGCAGAUAUCAGGAGGAACACCAAUGGCGAAGGCAGCUCGCUGGGACGGUACUGACGCUGAGACGCGAAAGCGUGGGGAGCAAACAGG
rnacentral:rRNA from 1 species